rnacentral:rRNA from 1 species
UACGGGGGGGGCAAGCGUUGUUCGGAAUUACUGGGCGUAAAGGGCUCGUAGGCGGCCAACUAAGUCACACGUGAAAUCCCUCGGCUCAACCGGGGAACUGCGUGUGAUACUGGAUGGCUUGAAUCCGGGAGAGGGAUGCGGAAUUCCAGGUGUAGCGGUGAAAUGCGUAGAUAUCUGGAGGAACAUCGGUGGCGAAGGCGGCAUCCUGGACCGGUAUUGACGCUGAGGCGCGAAAGCCAGGGGAGCAAACGGG